UAUAUAUAAUAUUAUUUUUAUUUUUGGUUUAUUGUUUAUUUAAUAAAAAUAAUUUUGUUGUUUAGUGUCUUAGUAUAUUUUGUAGAAUGGAUUUUAGUUAUUAUAGUUUAUUAGUAAUGUAAUUGGUUUAUGAAAUAUUUGUUUAAAUAAGUUAAAGUAAAUUUUAUUUAUUGUACCUUUUGUAUCAGGGUUUAUUAAAAUUCUAGUAUUGAUUUUAUACUUUUCUCAAUUUGGGUUGAUUUAUAAAUAAAUUAAAGUUAAUGUGUUAUAAUUAUUAUUAAUUUAUUUAUAGAAAUGAAAUGUUAGUCGUUUCCUAAUAUAUUUAGUUUUCUAACAAAAAGUUUAAUUUUUUAAAGUUUCUGUUUUAUUUAAUUUUUUAAUUAAUAAUAUUAACUUAUUAAUUCUUUAAGGGAUAAGCUUUAAAGAAAAUUAUUCUAUAAUUUAUUAAAUUAUAAUUUAAUAAUAAGCUUUAAAUCAGCUAUUUUUUGAUUACGUUUUAGUUCAUUAUUUUUUAUUUUGAUUUUAUAAAUAUUUUAGGUUUUUUAUUAGAAUGAUAGAUUAAAUUUUUUAAUUUUUGUAAUAAUGAUGGAAUAAGUAUAUUUUUUUUUGUUUAUAAUAUUUAAUUUUGAUAAUUUAUUAUAAGGAAUUAGGCAAAAUUAAUUUUCGCCUGUUUAUCAAAAACAUGUCCUCUUGAUUAUAUUUUGAGGUCUGGCCUGCUCACUGAUAAAUUUAAAGAGCCGCGGUAUUUUGACCGUGCAAAGGUAGCAUAAUCAUUAGUCUUUUAAUUAAGGGCUGGAAUGAAUGGCUUGACGAGAAAUUAACUGUCUCUUAAUAAUUUAUAAAAUUUAACUUUUGAGUCAAAAGGCUUAAAUUUUUCUUUAGGACGAGAAGACCCUAUAGAGCUUAACAUAUAAUUUAUAUUUAUACAUUAGAUGAUUUUUAUAUAUUUAAUGAUAAUGUUUUGUUGGGGUGACAUGAAGAAUUAAUAAACUCUUCAUUAUAAAAUCAUUAAUUUAUGUUUAUUUUUGAUCCAUAAUUUAUGAUCAUAAGAUUAAGUUACCUUAGGGAUAACAGCGUAAUUGUUUUUGAGAGCUCAAAUCAACAAAGCAGAUUGCGACCUCGAUGUUGGAUUAAGAAAAAUUUUGGGUGCAGUAGCUCAUUAAUUAGGUCUGUUCGACCUUUAAUUUCUUACAUGAUCUGAGUUCAGACCGGCGUGAGCCAGGUCGGUUUCUAUCCUAAGAUUAAUUAAUUUAUAUUAGUACGAAAGGACCAUAUAAAUAAAAUAUUUUUUAUUAAUUGAUUAAAAUUAAUUUU
rnacentral:rRNA from 2 species